rnacentral:rRNA from 1 species
UCUAGUGACGAUGGCAAAGAGGAUACACCCGUUCCCAUACCGAACACGGAAGUUAAGCUCUUUAGCGCCGAUGGUAGUAAGGGGCUUCCCCUUGUGAGAGUAGGACGUUGCUAGGC